GCCCCUAUGGCGUAGUGGUAGCGCGUGUCACUUGUAUCAAAUAUCAAGAUUAUGACAAGGUCUCUCGUUCGAUCCGGGAUGGGGGCA